GAAAACUGGCACAACAAGGGGGAAUGUUGCAUAACUUCCACAAGAGGAUUACUUAAGUAAAGCUGAAAACUUUGCUGAAUAAAGGUCGGUGUGACAGAAGGAAGCAGGAGUGAGCUGAUACACAGUGGGAGCAGUGUUGGGAUUGUAAGUGUGAAGCUGUGUAGGAGAAAUGAGGCUAUUGCUGGCUGUCAGUCUCAUUCUCCUCUUCCUAUGGCUUCACAAGACUCAGACAUCUAGUGUCACCUUGCACAUGAAUGCUCGUGAGGCAGUAUCGAUGAGUGAGGCAGCAGUAUCUCUCCUCUUAUCGCCUCUGUCUCUGUACUCCUGGAUGACCUCCACGUUGCUCAGGUUCCUUCUGUCCGUCCCAGCUCUCGUCUUCAGCUCCUGGUAUCACUCCUUGCUGCUGAUCCUGGCUGGGCCUUGGUGUGUUGCCACUGUCUGCUUCUCUCUGCUGGUGACCGGUCUCCAUGUUUCUCUCUACCUACUUCACCUCGGGCUGGUGGCUGGGGCGGUAGCCAUUUUGGCUGUCAGGCAACACAAGAUGGCUGACGGUGACACCCCCAGGGAGAAAGUAUUAAGCCUACAGAAGAGCGUAGAAGGGCAGCAAACCAAAAGCAGGCUACUAAUUGGCAGACAUGGAUCUGACAGGUCACACAUCGGCUCUCUAUCUGCCAGGCUAACGUUUCUGGCAGUUUGGCAGUGUUUGCCCAGAUAUCUGUAGUCUACUGGCGGAUGCUGUCCAAGAUAAAGACAAUGUUGGAUAACACCUCCCACUCCAUGACAUGCUGGUCAGUCACAGGAGCACGUUCAGUGAGAGACUGAGAUUACCGAAAAGCACCACUGAACGACACAGGAAAUCAUUCCUGCCUGUGGCCAUCUCCCUGUACAACGCAUCCACUUAACACACUGUUUGCUGCUACAGCUACACAUGUUUCUUUUCCAACUAUUUAUUUAUGAGUGACUUAUGUAUGUAUGUAUGUAUAUAUAUGUAUAUAUUGUACUAUUCUUAGUUAGUGUAUUGUCU
ensembl:lncRNA